AUUGAACGCUGGCGGCAGGCCUAACACAUGCAAGUCGCGCGGAGAGGCGGACGGGUGAGUAAUGCCUAGGAAUCUGCCUGGUAGUGCGGGUUAACGUCCGGAAACGGGCGCUAGUACCGCAUACUCUCGGCUGAGACUCAGUCGGAGUAGCUAGUUGGUGGGGUAAAGGCCUACAAAGGCGACGAUCCGUAACUGGUCUGAGAGGAUGAUCAGUCACACUGGAACUGAGACACGGUCCAGACGCCUACGGCAGGCAGCAGUGGGGAAUAUUGGACAAUGGGCGAGAGCCUGGUCGAGCCAUGCGGCGUGUGUGAAGAAGGUCUUCGGAUUGUAAAGCACGCGAAGGUCUGCGGCGGUACCAACAGAAGAAGCACAGGCUAACUUCGGGACAGCAGCCGCGGUAAUUC
rnacentral:rRNA from 1 species